GCGGGGGUACCCGAGCCAGGUCUAAAUAGGCUGUUGGGGCUGAGAAUCCUCUGGCGUAGGCCUUCGUGGGUUCAAAUCCCACCCCCCGCACCA
rnacentral:tRNA from 1 species